ensembl:snRNA U6 U6 spliceosomal RNA
GUGCUCAAUUCAGCAGCACAUAUACUAAAAAUUGGAAUGAUACAGAGAACAUUUGCAUGGCCCCUGCCCAAGGAUGACAUGCAAAUUCAUGAAGCAUUGCCUAUUUUU